GCCUAGGUACAAGAGUCGUGUGAUGGAC
rnacentral:sRNA from 1 species